UACGUAGGGUGCAAGCGUUGUCCGGAAUUAUUGGGCGUAAAGAGCUCGUAGGUGGCUCGGUAAGUCGGGUGUGAAAUUUCGAGGCUCAACCUCGAAACGCCACCUGAUACUGCUGUGGCUUGAGUCCGGUAGGGGAGCGUGGAAUUCCUGGUGUAGCGGUGGAAUGCGCAGAUAUCAGGAGGAACACCGAUGGCGAAGGCAGGUCUCUGGGCCGCAACUGACGCUGAGGAGCGAAAGCAUGGGGAGCGAACAGG
rnacentral:rRNA from 1 species